rnacentral:rRNA from 1 species
UACGUAGGGGGCAAGCGUUAUCCGGAUUUACUGGGUGUAAAGGGAGCGUAGACGGCGAUGCAAGCCAGAUGUGAAAGCCCGGGGCUCAACCCCGGGACUGCAUUUGGAACUGUGUGGCUGGAGUGUCGGAGAGGCAAGUGGAAUUCCUAGUGUAGCGGUGAAAUGCGUAGAUAUUAGGAGGAACACCAGUGGCGAAGGCGGCUUGCUGGACGAUGACUGACGUUGAGGCUCGAAAGCGUGGGGAGCAAGCAGG